CUACAUGAAGCUGGAAUCGCUAGUAAUCGCGGAUCAGAAUGCCGCGGUGAAUACGUUCCCGGGUCUUGUACACACCGCCCGUCACACCAUGGGAGUCGGAAAUGCCCGAAGUCUGUGACCCAACCGUAAGGAGGGAGCAGCCGAAGGCAGGUCGGAUGACUGGGGUGAAGUCGUAACAAGGUAGC
rnacentral:rRNA from 1 species